rnacentral:lncRNA from 1 species
AAAAAUUAAGAGAGAGAUUGUAUAGUUAUUAUGAUAGGCCAACUUAUUGAAAUGAAUUUCAUUUUAGAGUUCAUUUUAUUGACCUAUGAAAUGAACUAUUGAUCCUUGAAAUGAAAUAUUGAUAUAUGAAAUGAACUGAACUACACCACUACAAGUCAAAAGUUCAAUUUAUUGAAAUACAAUUAAAAUGACCCUCACCAAUACAGAUGCUCUUAAAACGGGGUUCUACACGAAUUGGUAAAAAAUUGUCGUCCUUCGGGGUUUUGCUUCCCUAGAAGGUUAAACAAAGCUUAUUAACAUGUCUUUACUAUUCAAAUUAUGUCCAAGUCCAACUUGUGAUCCUCGAACAAAAAGAGCUCGACUUAUGAACAUAAUUAUUAGGACAAACUACAUAAAAUCCCCCAACCUAUAGGGUCAUUUACGAGUUUAUAUUCAAUUUUGAGGACAUUUACCAGUACAUACUCAACGUCAAAGAAAUUCUACAAUUUUCCCCCUCCGUUAGCCAAACUGUUAGGGAGUCUGUUAAAUGCUGACAUGUCAAAAGUGAAAUCCCUUUUUUAUGACGUGGACUUCCACGUGGACAAAUAAAUAAUAAUAAAAAUUAUCUACUUUUUUAAAAUAACAAAUUUGUUUUAAAAAAAAUAAAAACCUAAACAACUCUCUCUCUCUCUCUCUCUCUCUCUCUCUCCUUCUCCCUCUCGACCCACCCCAACCCAGAACUCUCCUCUCCUCUCCAGCAUAUGCCCACCCCGCGGCCACCAUCUUCUCCCAGCGUAGAAUUAUUGGCUCUAUGUAUCUACGUUAAUUUACUUGGUAGGUAGGCAGGCAGGUUGGUAGGAAAAGAACUUGACGGAAGAAUCUUAUUAGCCUUUAAUAAAUAAGUAGGCUUUCUAAUUUCUACGUUUUUCCAUUUUUGUUCUUAAUUUUCUGCUAAUGAUUAAUUACUGUUGUUCUUCAUGCUCUCAAAUUAUUCCUUACAACUCAAAUUAAUCCUUACCUGUAAUUGAAGUUCAGAUCUGUCAUUGUGUACUUGUUUGUUUGCCGAGAAUGUCGACGAAAAUGAACAUUUGAAAUCUUAGACAGAGAGGGGCGGAGAGAUUUCAGGGGAGGAGGGAAAGGGGCUGGGGUUGGGGUUGGGGCGAGGUUUGAGUGGAGAAGAGGGGUUGCGCUGAGCUGAGAGAUUUCGGGAGAUCAAUAGGGGCGCUGGGCGAUGAGGAGUCGCUAGGCGAUUGGCCGGGGCUAUUGGCUGUUCAAGUUUUUUUUUUUUUAAUUUUAAUUUUUUUUUUGUUUUAACUGGGUUUUGUGCCAAACCCAACAAAAACAACCCCAGAUUCAGAUCUAGGUUGUGUGUACAGAGACUGGGGAGAAAAAGAGACGGGGUUGGAGGGAAAGAGGAAGAGACGGGGGCGACUGAGGUGUUUCCAUAUCAAGUUCACUUAAUUCCAGUUUCCACUAUACAAAACUCUCUCAGAUGACUUGAAUGUUUUGCCAGAGAGAGUAGAGGCAUUUACUCGUUGGACUGUGUCUCGGCAAUCUCGAAGUCGAAGUCGAAGUCGAAGAGAUUUAGAAUAAUCUCGGUUUGGACUAGGAGGAGCAAGGUGGGGCAGCGAGGAUGGGGG